GGACAGGCGGUCUUUGAUCGUCUGCUGAAAGCUUGCAACGAGGUGGUUUGGAAAGGGGAAGCCAUUCAGGUCCUUAGUCAGAUUCAAGUCGACCCACCAUAUGCUAUUGAAAACUGCAGGCUUCUCUCUGAUGCUGGAAGACAAUCGGAA
rnacentral:ribozyme from 1 species